rnacentral:rRNA from 1 species
GUGGGGAAUAUUGGACAAUGGGCGAAAGCCUGAUCCAGCCAUGCCGCGUGUGUGAAGAAGGUCUUCGGAUUGUAAAGCACUUUAAGUUGGGAGGAAGGGCAGUAAGUUAAUACCUUGCUGUUUUGACGUUACCGACAGAAUAAGCACCGGCUAACUUCGUGCCAGCAGCCGCGGUAAUACGAAGGGUGCAAGCGUUAAUCGGAAUUACUGGGCGUAAAGCGCGCGUAGGUGGUUUUGUAAGUUGGAGGUGAAAUCGCCGGGCUCAACCUGGGAACUGCCUCAAAAACUGCAUGACUAGAGUACGGUAGAGGGUAGUGGAAUUUCCUGUGUAGCGGUGAAAUGCGUAGAUAUAGGAAGGAACACCAGUGGCGAAGGCGACUACCUGGACUGAUACUGACACUGAGGUGCGAAAGCGUGGGAGCAAACAGGAUUAGAAACCCCUGUAGUCC